GGGCCAUUAGCUCAGCUGGUAGAGCAACAGACUCUUAAUCUGUGGGUCGCUGGUUCGAAGCCGGCAUGGCUCA
rfam:Treponema maltophilum ATCC 51939 genomic scaffold aczIZ-supercont-complete, whole genome shotgun sequence.